rnacentral:rRNA from 1 species
GAACGGGUGAGUAACACGUGAGCAAUCUGCCCUUGACUCUGGGAUAACUGCGGGAAACUGUAGCUAAUACCGGAUACGACACCUUGGGGCAUCCCAGGGUGUGGAAAGAAUUUCGGUCAAGGAUGAGCUCGCGGCCUAUCAGCUAGUUGGUGAGGUAAUGGCUCACAAAGGCAUCGACGGGUAGCUGGUCUGAGAGGACGAUCAGCCACACUGGGACUGAGACACGGCCCAGACUCC